AUGAACGCUGGCGGCGUGCUUAACACAUGCAAGUCGAACGGGAAACCUUUUAAUGAAGCUUCGGCAGAUUUAGCUGGUUUCUAGUGGCGGACGGGUGAGUAACGCGUGGGUAACCUGCCUUAUACAGGGGGAUAACAGUCAGAAAUGACUGCUAAUACCGCAUAAGCGCACAGGACCGCAUGGUCCGGUGUGAAAAACCCCGGUGGUAUAAGAUGGACCCGCGUUGGAUUAGCUUGUUGGUGGGGUAACGGCUCACCAAGGCGACGAUCCAUAGCCGGCCUGAGAGGGUGAACGGCCACAUUGGGACUGAGACACGGCCCAGACUCCUACGGGAGGCAGCAGUGGGGAAUAUUGCACAAUGGGGGAAACCCUGAUGCAGCGACGCCGCGUGAAGGAAGAAGUAUCUCGGUAUGUAAACUUCUAUCAGCAGGGAAGAUAGUGACGGUACCUGACUAAGAAGCCCCGGCUAACUACGU
rnacentral:rRNA from 1 species